AUCAUGUAUCAUCACUAUUCACCCAAACAGUUAACCCUAAACUUUUCACCUGUCCUUUAAUACAGUCAAUUCCAAGCUAAUUUUUUUCCAUCAUUAAGAGGGGACCCAGGAUCAUUUAAAAUGUUAUUAUACUUUCUACAAAUACAUCCCCCAUCUUAGAGCUUUAGCUACUAGAGAAAGUCUUUGGAUUUGGGGGUCAGAGGAGUUGCAAGUAUAAACUUUCAUACCGUUCUGUUCAGGAUGUGUGAUUUUUCUCCGUUUGUCUAAACCGAUCUAAAUUUCCAUAGAUGGUCCUGACUCUGGGUGGAUCUAACAAGGAUCCUGGAACUCCAGGGGUAUUGUUGAAUUCUUACCGGAUUCGAUCCUGGCUUUAAAUCAGUUCUCACAGGUUCUGCUUUUUGGAUUUACCGGGAACUUCCCAGUCCAGACGAUUGGAAUUACAGCGUUAUACUUUGACCGGUAUAAUCUUCGGCUUUCGGUAACCAUCCUGUAACAACAAAGCCGCUGCUUCGAUACGUUUAGUUUCUGGAAUUAAAAUUUUAACCUCUCCAUUUUUUAAUUUAA